rnacentral:antisense_RNA from 1 species
GUGCUAGGUCCCGGGCUGGGAUCCAUGUCGUCCUUACAACAAUUCAGCAAGAAACAUAUUAUUCGAUCCAUUCACUGAAGAGGAAACUGAAAUCACUCAGAGAGGAGGAGUGAUUCAGCCCCAAAUUCCAAAGUGGUAGAAGUGGACUUGGGCUCAGCUUCCCUAGUGUCUUAGCUACUCCCCCAUCUAACUGUUCAUUCCUGGGACAGGUGAGACAGGGGUAUAUGUCAGAGCCAUUCUUCAAGAUCAGAUGACCUGUUAAGUCCAAGGACUCAUCUGAACCAUCAGUCACUCUCUGGCCCAGAGAGGUGGUGUUGUUUGCCAAGGACACACAGCAGGUGGCCAAGAUGGAGCCAAGCCAUUUUCCCCACUGCAGGGCUCAUGGUUUCGACUUUGUUGGUUCUCUAGCAGGACGCGGGUGUCCUCAAGGUCACAGACCCCUGAUCUCCAUAAGUGUCCCUGACAUUUCAAGGGCACAAAUUCUCUGGACACACGGAGGGAAUAAUGCUGACAUUUUAUAGAAGCUGACCCACUGGAUAUCCUUCUCACCCAACUCCAUUAGGCUAGGGAGAGUAAGAGGCAUGGUGACAAGGUGGCAAAGAUGUCACCAUGCCAUCCAAUCACGAGGUCUCCAGGAAACUGUAUAAGAAGGACACCCCCAGAAACUCCUGGCACUACUGAACAAAUGUAUAAUAUCCCUGGGUAAAACCAAGAGUCCUUUUGCCUUCUUGCCAUUCAGUAACCGUUGUGUGCCUGACACAGCUUUACCCUCUGUGAAAUGGGAAGAGCAGUAGUUUCUGUUCCACAGGUUGCUAUAAGGAUGGACUGUGAUCUCAUCAUUCCUCAUAGUAAUGG